CAUCUGGAAAGAUGAAUCAAAGAAGGUAAUAAUCCUGUAGUCGAAAAUGUUGUCUCUCUUGAGUGGAUCCUGAGUACGACGGAGCACGUGAAAUUCCGUCGGAAUCUGGGAGGACCAUCUCCUAAGGCUAAAUACUCUCUAGUGACCGAUAGUGAACCAGUACCGUGAGGGAAAGGUGAAAAGCACCCCGGAAGGGGAGUGAAAUAGAACCUGAAACCGUGUGCUUACAAGUAGUCAGAGCCCGUUAAUGGGUGAUGGCGUGCCUUUUGUAGAAUGAACCGGCGAGUUACGAUUUGAUGCAAGGUUAAGCAGUAAAUGUGGAGCCGUAGCGAAAGCGAGUCUGAAUAGGGCGUUUAGUAUUUGGUCGUAGACCCGAAACCAGGUGAUCUACCCUUGGUCAGGUUGAAGUUCAGGUAACACUGAAUGGAGGACCGAACCGACUUACGUUGAAAAGUGAGCGGAUGAACUGAGGGUAGCGGAGAAAUUCCAAUCGAACCUGGAGAUAGCUGGUUCUCUCCGAAAUAGCUUUAGGGCUAGCCUCAAGUGAUGAUUAUUGGAGGUAGAGCACUGUUUGGACGAGGGGCCCCUCUCGGGUUACCGAAUUCAGACAAACUCCGAAUGCCAAUUAAUUUAACUUGGGAGUCAGAACAUGGGUGAUAAGGUCCGUGUUCGAAAGGGAAACAGCCCAGACCACCAGCUAAGGUCCCAAAAUAUAUGUUAAGUGGAAAAGGAUGUGGCGUUGCCCAGACAACUAGGAUGUUGGCUUAGAAGCAGCCAUCAUUUAAAGAGUGCGUAAUAGCUCACUAGUCGAGUGACACUGCGCCGAAAAUGUACCGGGGCUAAACAUAUUACCGAAGCUGUGGAUUGUCCUUUGGACAAUGGUAGGAGAGCGUUCUAAGGGCGUUGAAGCAUGAUCGUAAGGACAUGUGGAGCGCUUAGAAGUGAGAAUGCCGGUGUGAGUAGCGAAAGACGGGUGAGAAUCCCGUCCACCGAUUGACUAAGGUUUCCAGAGGAAGGCUCGUCCGCUCUGGGUUAGUCGGGUCCUAAGCUGAGGCCGACAGGCGUAGGCGAUGGAUAACAGGUUGAUAUUCCUGUACCACCUAUAAUCGUUUUAAUCGAUGGGGGGACGCAGUAGGAUAGGCGAAGCGUGCGAUUGGAUUGCACGUCUAAGCAGUAAGGCUGA
rnacentral:rRNA from 1 species